GGGCAAGGUGCUGAUCCGCAGGGUCUGCCAGCGGUCGGGAGGCUUUGGGGGGCGUAGGGGAGCUGCCAGCCUUGGACAAAGCAGGUGGCCAAAUGACGUUAUAGCGGAGCAUUGCACAACUUUAAACGAGCAUGUUCUGUAAUGGAGCAGGGAUGUAACAUCGAAACAACGUUAAGCGAGAGGAUGUUACGUGGGGAGUUACUGUACAACCAAUCUUGGGGGGGAAAUUUAGGCUUAAGUUUAUACUGUUAACAUAAGAACAUAAGAAUGGCCCUACUGGGUCAGACCAAGGGUCAAUCUAGCCCAGUAUCCUGUCUUCCGACAGUGGACAAUGCCAGGUGCCCCAGAGGGAAUGAAUAGAACAGGUAAUCAUCAGUUGAUCCAUCCCCUGUCACUCAUUCCCAGCUUCUGGCAGUUUUAUUACCUAUUAAUUAUACUGUUUUAUUAUUUGUUACCAAUAAAUACACCCCCCCCCCAAAAAAGGUGAUAGGUUUGAAUUUUAUACAGUGUGUGUAUAUAUUCCAUUGAGAGAAGGGUGGCAACUCUGUCUACUUGCAUUAACAUUUCUGGAUUCAGGGUCCCUGUCACUGAAAUAUGAUGUAUGUGCCACAUACUACCAGUGUAAUGUGUCAUGUACUACACUGGGGUUUUUUAGUGUAAUAAAGAAAAAUGUCUUCAGUAAUUUUAUAUAUAUAUAUUUAUAUAUUUUUUAGAGCAAGCAAACAUAAGGGAUGACGUGAAAGAGAGAAGACAUACAGAAAGAAAAGUAAAGGAAGGAAAAGUAAGGAAAUGUUUCAUAACAGCAUAAGAUAAGAAAAGUGAGAGCAAAAAUAGUCUUGGUGAGUUUUUAACAAAGAAAGAUGAAGAAGGUGGACAUAGACACAAGUCACACAGAGAUCAAGAACUGAAUAAAGACAAAGGAAGGAGUCAUAGUGAUAAAAGAGAACAUGAACAUUCAGUUAGGGGAGGAAAGGAGAGACCUUCAAAAGAAAGAAGCCAUGAAUUGUUUGUAAAGGAUGGGGAAGAAAAAUAUGUGUCAAGGAGACCUAAAGAAGGAUCCUCCGUUGAAGACAGAGAAAGACAACUGAGAGAGAAUAAUGAAAAAAGACAGAGGGAAGAAAAUGAAAGAAAGAAAAGAGAUCUUAAGGUUAGUUUUUGUAAAACUUAAAAGUUGUAGUUAACAUAUUUUCAGAUAUCUUCAUAUUUCAUCAUACACCCAUUCUGCCUUGAAAAUGCUUUGUUAAAAUACAGUAAACAAAUAUUGAUUUCUGGUGAGAUGAACAUCCAGAGAUAUUGACUCAGAAGG
rnacentral:lncRNA from 1 species